UAGGGAAUCUUCGGCAAUGGACGAAAGUCUGACCGAGCAACGCCGCGUGAGUGAAGAAGGUUUUCGGAUCGUAAAACUCUGUUGUUAGAGAAGAACAAGGACGUUAGUAACUGAACGUCCCCUGACGGUAUCUAACCAGAAAGCCACGGCUAACUACGUGCUAGCAGCCGCGGUAAUACGUAGGUGGCAAGAGUUGUCCGGAUUUAUUGGGCGUAAAGCGAGCGCAGGCGGUUUCUUAAGUCUGAUGUGAAAGCCCCCGGCUCAACCGGGGAGGGUCAUUGGAAACUGGGAAGCUUGAGUGCAGAAGAGGAGAGUGGAAUUCCGUGUGUAGCGGUGAAGUGCGUAGAUAUAUGAAGGAACACCAGUGGCGAAGGCGGCUCUCUGGUCUGUAACUGACGCUGAGGCUCGAAAGCGUGGGGAGCAAACAGG
rnacentral:rRNA from 1 species